rnacentral:misc_RNA from 1 species
UCUCCGUUGGUGAACCAGCGGAGGGAUCAUUACCGAAGUUACCUUCAAAACCCACUGUGAACCUUACCUCUUGCCGCGUUGUCUCGGCGGGAGGCGGUGUGCGUCGCGCGCCCUAGCGGGCCGCGCCGCGCCCGUCCCCGCCGGCAGCGCCAAACUCUAAAUGCACAGCGGACUGUACGUUCUGAUUUACAAAAAAAAACAAGUUAAAACUUUCAACAACGGGUCUCUUGGUUCUG